GGGACUCGAAAGGCCGAGGAACCCCGCCGCACGAGGAUGAUGAUGAAUCGGUGCAAGCGAGGUGUUCGAGCUUGGGCUCCAAUGGGAAUGAAGUGGAAAUCUGGAGAGCGGGGUGGGGAGGGGGGAGAGAGUGGCGCUGAUCGAAUUGGAGGUAUUGGAUUUCCAUUGGAGAAGAGUAGCAGGAUGCGGCGGCGGAGGUGAG
rnacentral:misc_RNA from 1 species